rnacentral:lncRNA from 1 species
CUUCUCCUCCUCAGUACAACCCAUGGCCCUGAAGGCCUUCUCCAUCUCAUCUAUCCAACAUUCGGCCUCUUGGGGAUCGAUAGUUCCCUUGAAGGCCGGAGGAGCCAACUUCCUGAACUCUGCUAUACUCCUCCCCUGAUCUGAAGAACUAGCAGAGGGAAAUAGCUGCUGUGGUCCCCUCUGCUGCCUAACUAACCCAACAACCUCUCUGAUCAGCUCCAUCACCUGGGUCGGUCCUCCCAUCCUGCUCUCCUGGCCAUGAUCUGGUCCAUCCAGUACUGUCUGAUCAGUCUCGUCCUCCUGGACUCUCUCAGUCGGAUGAGAAGUGGCUGGAUCACUCUCGAUAGUCUCGAUCAGGCGGCGA